rnacentral:lncRNA from 1 species
CUUGCUAUUGGGCAAAAUCCCGUCUGCUACCUGGUAUUCAUGUAGAGUAAACUGCAAUGUGGAAACAGAUGGUAUGACCAAGUGGGAGAGAGACUCUGUCUGCAAAACUGGGAGAGCUUCACUCUGGCUGGGGGUGGAAGAGGAAUGAACAAGUCCACCCCAGUGUGAAAAUAAGAUGAAAAUAUAAAAGAAUGUCAGCGUUGAAGGUUACUGCUUUUGAUUUUGACAGUAUCCCAGAACCGUGUGGGCACAUGAACAUUCCAAAGAAGAUACUUCCAGGUUCUUCACAUGGCUAUAAGAGUCUUUACAGAGGAGAGGGAAAGAGAAGACAGUGGAGAGAUGCCUUGGGAGAGAGCUGUUACUGGCCAUGGUGCCAUUCUUCUUCCACAGGUAGUGGUAACCCUUCUAUCCCAAGUCUGGUGAGGAGUGACUACGUAAUGAUUCCGAGGGCCAUGGAAUGUGUGGAAAAUUAGGGCUCAGCUUGACUCAUG